ACCGCAGGGGGUGACUGCAGGGGUGGUGCCCAGGGAGAACCAGCCUGGGGGGCAGCAGGGGUGAAGCCUCUGCUCUGCGCACAGGUUUCCCAAGAGCAAGGUACACCCUGCAGGUGGGCUACCGCCUCCAAGAGACACGGGCCAUGGCGCCCUCAUGGCAAGGAGUUCAUCACGUUCUCAAUCCUGCCUCAGUCCCUCCAGGAGAAAGCCCCCGUGCGGAGGUCUUCAACACCUCUGACACUUGCUACCCUCCCUUGUCACCAAGACAGAUCAGGCCUCAGGCUCGGAGCCUCCAGCGGGCAACAGCCUUCUAGCUGGGAUGUGAUAACACUUCCUUGCCUUCAUUUUUAUGGCUGCCUCCCAUUUAUGAAACAUUGGAUACAGUUUACAAAUGGGUUGGGGCCAAGACCUGCCCCCGUCCCCUUGCAAAAACCACUGAAGUUCAAACUCACGGGGGCCGACUCGAUCUGAAAUAAUGUAAGACCGUGAAGGCGUCCAACAGCAGUGCUGGUGGUGACACUGGAGAGACAAUGGUCACAGAACAUGAAGGUAGUAAAAGGCUGUGUGGCAAAGCCUAAGAACCUGAAUACCUUUUGUUGUCGCAGUUCCACCUCUUGGAGUUCAUUAUAAUAAAAAAAGGCAUGGAACAGAAA